rnacentral:rRNA from 1 species
GGUACCCACAGAAGAAGUCCUGGCUAACUCCGUGCCAGCAGCCGCGGUAAUACGGAGAGGGCUAGCGUUAUUCGGAAUUAUUGGGCGUAAAGGGCGCGUAGGCGGAUUAGUAAGUUAAAAGUGAAAUCCCAAGGCUCAACCUUGGAAUUGCUUUUAAAACUGCUAAUCUAGAGAUUGAAAGAGGAUAGAGGAAUUCCUAGUGUAGAGGUGAAAUUCGUAAAUAUUAGGAGGAACACCAGUGGCGAAGGCGUCUAUCUGGUUCAAAUCUGACGCUGAGGCGCGAAGGCGUG